GAGUUUAAUCAUGGCUCAGAUUGAACGCUGGCGGCAUGCCUUACACAUGCAAGUCGAACGGCAGCACGGGAGCUUGCUCCUGGUGGCGAGUGGCGAACGGGUGAGUAAUGCAUCGGAACGUAUCCUGGAGUGGGGGAUAACGUAGCGAAAGUUACGCUAAUACCGCAUAUUCUGUGAGCAGGAAAGCGGGGGACCUUCGGGCCUCGCGCUCUUGGAGCGGCCGAUGUCGGAUUAGCUAGUUGGUGAGGUAAAGGCUCACCAAGGCGACGAUCCGUAGCAGGUCUGAGAGGAUGAUCUGCCACACUGGAACUGAGACACGGUCCAGACUCCUACGGGAGGCAGCAGUGGGGAAUUUUGGACAAUGGGGGCAACCCUGAUCCAGCCAUGCCGCGUGAGUGAAGAAGGCC
rnacentral:rRNA from 1 species